ACAAUCACCACACCAGCACCACCUGGUAUUCACAGUGCAGAAGAUUUUACCACAUUUUUUCUACUACGCGCAGUCUAAGACAAUACGAAGUUAGUAAACUCCAUCAAAUCGUCUGCAGAAAACACCUAACAUAUAAAAAACUCAAUCAAAAUAGGAGCAACAAUGCUGAAAGAAUUAAGAUUCUUCUCGAAGAUGAGUAAUUACAGUACACAGCAUUUUCAAGUAUGGACUAAAGACUGCAAAACAAACGAAUUUUUUUUCUUUGUAUUUUAGGAGAGUUUUGCCUAAAUGGAUGAAUCAUCAGGUGAAACAUGAAAUUAGUGUAGAAGCUGCCUAGAUAAACUGGAAACCGUUUUGUGAACAAAAUUACGCAGCCUGCAUAGGCUAUGCUAUGAUAUAGCUUCAAAAAAUUGUGUUUAUCGAUUUGUUUUUUUUUGCUUCAGGUGUUGGAACAAGUUACUUUAUGGAGGUGAAGUGUCAAUUUGGAUUGUCAAUCAUUGGUUGAGAUGGAAAAAGUGCAUGGAUUGGAUCACAAUUUUAUUUCCACACUUGUCUUGGAAUCCUGGGGUUCUCACAGUUGUAGCGGAACAUUCUCGUCUGUUCUGGCCACAAAUAAUGUAAGACAAAUCUACCCACAUCAAACAUGGAGCCUGUUCUGGCUCAUCGAUUUGUUCCCCGUGCGUCCGAAAUUUUUCCCGUUUCCAGCGAUUAUUGUCCGCGUGCGAGAAGGUUAGACGACUGUGAUACCUGAACGGCUUACUCAACUGACGAGCCAAAAAUUACAAGCCGAUGCCCAACCCGGUGAAAUCCUGGACACUUUAUUACACGUGGUCAACACAAUUUCAGGUACUCAGCCCAUCCCGGUCGAAUUAACCCCUGACAAGUCUUUGUUGUCUGCCAUUAGACAGAACGAAGGUUCGGAAAGGCAUGGAAUUCCCACCGAAUCGAAAAUGGAGCAUCUCGAUCACCUGCUCCUGAUUGUUGAAUACUUCUCCUGAAACAUGUGAUGAAAGACUAGGUCAAGAUUGUUCUAAUUGUCUAUUUGUCUAAAUAGAUUGUCUAAGUUAGCAAUCCAUUUCACUGAUAAAUGAUAAAAAAAAAAAUGGAUAUCAUUUUUCAUUCUGUGUCAUUUUUUUUAUUUUGUGAUCAGUGUUCUGCAUCUAUCAAUUCAAAGUUAAUACUGGAAUGGUGAGAGGUAAUGUAGUUCACAACUUUAAUAUGGGUUUAGUGCAACUGUCAUUUUUUUUAAUAUUCUAUUUCCUUCAAGUAUCUGUAUAUUGAUACAUCGUUUAGUUCAUUCAACUGGUUUUAAGUGUUGGUGUCACAUAAUUAAAUAGUGUGAGGAUUUGGUUUUUACAAUAAGAUGAGUAGACCAAGCAUAUCCACAGUUGUUCAGCUUAUGCGAUUCAACAUUUGCUUGUGGCACUUAA
rnacentral:lncRNA from 1 species